UGUCUCUUCCUCGCUUAUUGGAGCUUCUGCACAGUUCGAGAUGGCUGGCAAUAAGGCUGGAAAGGACUCCGGAAAGGCCAAGACAAAGGCGGUUUCCAGCUUGCAGCAAGACGGUUUGCAGUUCCCUGUGGGCCAUAUUCAUAGAUACCUGAAAUCUAGGACAAGCAGCCACGGACAUGUGGGUGCGACUGCUGCUAUGUACAGAGCAGCCAUCCUGGAGUACCUCACCCCAGAGGUACUUUAGUUGGCAGGAAAUGCAUCAAAAGACUUAAAGGUAAAGCGUAUUACCCCUGUUCACUUGCAACUUGCUAUACGUGGAGAUGAAGAAUUGGAUUCUCUGAUAAAGCUACCAUUGCUGGCGGUGGUGUUAUCCCACAUAUCCAGAAAUCGGUGAUUGGAAAGAAAGAACAACAGAAGACUGUCUAA